AUGGGUCACCUCAUCGGCGUGCUCACGCCUCUCCCCGAUUGCAUCGCCAGCCUGUGUUUUCUCCUCGUUGCUGUCUUCAUCUUGACCGCUCACCGUCGUAGAAUUGAGCACGUGACAGGCUGGCUGCGUAAGCUCGCGCCGGUGACCACUCGGGUUGCGCGGGGCACCCGGCGUGGCCUCUCCAUCCAGGUGACAGGCCGUGCGAUAGCGCACCGCGCCUUGGUGGAGCACAGCGCCGCCUUCCUCGACCGCCCCACCGGCGCGGUGCCAAGUACCAUCCUCACACGUGACCGCCACCAUAACAUCCUGUCGGCGCCAUACGGCCCGUACUGGCGCGCCGUCCGCCGCAACGUAGCUGCCGGUGUCCUCCACCCAUCUCGCCUCUUCCGACUCAGCGACACCCGUGCCCGCGUGCUGGGCGACCUGGCGCGCGACCUCAGAUCCGGCGCCCCGGCAGCCGAGAGCCUCUAUUUCGCCGUGUACUCUGUCCUCGUUGAGAUGUGCUUCGGCAAGGACGUCGUCUCCAAGCUCGGGGACACGCGCCUCCGUGCCAUGCAGAAGUUCCAGCGUGACAUCCUCGUCGCGUUGCCCUCUUUUGGGGUGCUUGUGAGGUACCCGAGGAUGAGCAAGCUCAUCUACCCAUCACGGUGGCGCCAGCUUCUCUCUCUCCGGCGGCAGCAAGAAGAAUCUUUCUUGCCGCUCGUCGCCGAGGUCAAGAAUAACCGGAAGGACAAGCAUGACGCCAGCUUCAAGACUUACGUGGAGUCCCUCCUGGACCUGCGAAUCCAUGAAGACGGCGGCCGGGCCGUCGCGGAUGGCGAACUCGUCAGCCUCAUCUCGGAGUUCCUCGGCGCCGGCUUGGAGUCCACGGCUGCUGCCCUACAAUGGACGAUGGCCAACCUCGUAAAACGCCCCGACCUGCAGCAGAAGCUGCGGAUCGAGGUCGACGCCAUUGGCUGCAACCAGCGUAUCAUCGAGGAGGCCGAGCUAUCGCGAAUGCCCUACCUCAAGGCCGUCGUGCUCGAGAGCCUGCGGCGCCACCCACCGUUUCCGUUUGUGGUGCGCCGGAUGGAGGGCAAGGAGGCCGCGGAGGCGGUCGGCCUGACGAGUGUGCCGGGCGGUGGCGCGACGGCGAAUUUCCUCGUUGGGAAGAUCGCCCGCGACGCGGUACCGUGGUCGGAUGCGACAGAGUUCACGCCUGAGCGGUUCAUGCCCGGCGGGGACGGCGAGGACACGGACCUGACCUGCACGAGGGAGCUCAGAAUGAUGCCAUUCGGAGCCGGGAGGCGCGCGUGCCUGGCGAUCGUGCCGGCGAUGCUGCACCUCGAGUACUUCGUGGCCAACCUGGUCAAGGAGUUCGAGUGGUGGGAGGCCGACGGAGAGGACAACGCGGUGAACCUCACCGAAUUCCGCGGGUUCUUCAUCACCGUCAUGGAUCGCCCGCCUCGUGCCUCGCGACGCGGUAUGACCCUCCGGAUGCACCCGUCGGUGCCGUUCGUCCUACGCCGAUGA
rnacentral:rRNA from 1 species